UUCCUACCUAUAGUUGAGCAGUUUCAUGCUACAUCAUGGUGGAUCCCUCCCAAGUCACCACUGCCUAACAUUCCACAGAAUAUAGUUGAAAGAAUUGAAGAUGCAGAGUACUGAGCCCUCCACCUGCAAAUGCAUACAGCCAUGAACAGAUGGGUGUAAACUGAGGCAGUGGAGGGAGAGGGGUACUCCCAAGCCCUGAAAAUCUCAGAGUAAGAGGCCACCGACGACAGCGCUCACCGGUGCUGAGCUCCCUUCUACAGAAACCUGCAAAGACUCAGAUCGAGGAGGAAAUACACCAGGAAAAUGUCACAGGAUCAUCUCGAGGUAAGGUCCUGAGCAAGGUAGCCU
rnacentral:lncRNA from 1 species